rnacentral:rRNA from 1 species
GGUGAGUAACACGUGGAUAACCUACCUAUAAGACUGGGAUAACUUCGGGAAACCGGAGCUAAUACCGGAUAAUAUUUUGAACCGCAUGGUUCAAAAGUGAAAGACGGUCUUGCUGUCACUUAUAGAUGGAUCCGCGCUGCAUUAGCUAGUUGGUAAGGUAACGGCCUACCAAGGCAACGAUGCAUAGCCGACCUGAGAGGGUGAUCGGCCACACUGGAACUGAGACACGGUCCAG